GGGAAAUUCCAUAUAAGAAAAAUAUAUACAAAUAUAUAAAUCAAACAUUUUCACAAAUUUACCCAAAUGUUAUGUUUGUAAUGAUUGAUAACGAGUCAGCAUUAAACAGUAUAUUUGCAAAACAAAUAUAGUUCAUGCAGCGACCAUUCGACACCACCAACCAACGGUCAAGUUGAACGUGCCCACAGCACAUUGAUAGAAAUCACAAAAGUCCAAGCACAGGAAAAUAGUAUUACAAAUUCAAAUAAUUAUACUAUUAAUAUAUUUAAAAAAAAGCCAGCUAAAUGUAAAGUAAUACAUGAAAAUAAUGUACCAAUACAAUUACUUGAAAAUGGUACCUGACAGCAUACCUGGAAUAAUAAAGAAAUAGAUGGGCCUAAACUAAGAAAAUUUAAAUACUCCACACCUAUCGAUGGGAAACAAUACAUCAACCGCCAACAAGAACUCAAAGACGCCAUACACAAACAUGUGGAAAAACUAGAAAUUCGCUUUUCUGAUACCAAUCGGUGAACAUCCCUUGCAAUACACAAUCUUUGGCAUCUGUAUUAUAACAUUAUUCACCUAUGCCACAAUUAAAUUCUGCGAAUGCUACAAGAUAAAGACAGAAGAGAAUCAAUGAAAUGUAUAAGUUAGAACUUUCAAAAAUCCAACAUAACCACAAUUUACACUAAAGCGAGGAUGCUAAAUUUUAAGAAGGAUCCCUUAUCUACUACAAGAAAAAUACAAUAAUAUUUGCCAUUUAUGUAAACAUCAUAACAUACAUGCUUCAACAAUGCAUUAUCACCUAAUGCAUUAAACAAACAAACAUAGGUUCUAAAAACAGCGGAUAAGCAGCAGAUAAAAUACAAUAAACAAAUUAAUGUACGAAAAUUAUCUUCUUAGCAAUUAGGAUAAAUAGCAGUAGGAGUAUGAAAUGUAUUCAGUAAGAAUUUACAAUUAAUAAAGCAGAGCCGAACUGCUCUGAACCGAAAUUGUUUUUUUAACUCAACGGGAAACCACGCGUUUAACUCGCUGCGCACGUGUGGUUAAAAUGCACAAAAAUAUUUUAUCUCACACACGUGCAUGUGCAAAAUGGGCAUUGAUGUCAUACGGAUCAUAAUAAAACCAUAUACAUAUGUAUGUUCCAUAA